rnacentral:rRNA from 1 species
UACGGAAGGGGCAAGCGUUGUUCGGAAUCAUUGGGCGUAAAGGGCGCGUAGGUGGUUCUGUGUGUCUACCGUGAAAGCGUACGGCUCAACCGUAUUUUGUCGGUAGAAACUGCAGGACUUGAGGCUGGGAGGGGCUGGUGGAAUUCCCUGUGUAGCGGUGAAAUGCGUAGAGAUGGGGGAGAACACUCGUGGCGAAGGCGGCCAGCUAGACCAGUUCUGACACUGAGGCGCGACAGCGUGGGGAGCAAACAGG